CCUACGGGAGGCAGCAGUGGGGAAUAUUGGACAAUGGGCGAAAGCCUGAUCCAGCAAUGCCGCGUGAGUGAAGAAGGCCUUCGGGUUGUAAAGCUCUUUUACCCGGGAAGAUAAUGACUGUACCGGGAGAAUAAGCCCCGGCUAACUCCGUGCCAGCAGCCGCGGUAAUACGGAGGGGCUAGCGUUGUUCGGAAUUACUGGGCGUAAAGCGUACGUAGGCGGCUUUGUAAGUCAGAGGUGAAAGCCCACGACUCAAUCGUGGAACUGCCUUUGAGACUGCUUCGCUUGAAGAUGGGAGAGGUUAGUGGAAUUCCGAGUGUAGAGGUGAAAUUCGUAGAUAUUCGGAAGAACACCAGUGGCGAAGGCGGCUAACUGGACCAUUCUUGACGCUGAGGUACGAAAGCGUGGGAGCAAACAGGAUUAGAUACCCUGGUAGUCCACGCCGUAAACGAUGAUAACUAGCUGUCGGGGCUCUUGGAGCUUCGGUGGCGCNGCUACGACAUAGUUAUCGUCCGUCGGUAGGUACGGCCGCGACGUAACGUAACGAAGAAGUAGACGACGUGAGACGNGCGACGACGACGACGAGGAGUAG
rnacentral:rRNA from 1 species